rnacentral:tRNA from 1 species
UAGCCUAGUGGUUCAGGCUAUGGAUCGCCAAUCCGGAGACGGCGGGUUCGAUUCCCGC